CCUACGGUGGGCAGCAGUGAGGAAUAUUGGUCAAUGGCCGAGAGGCUGAACCAGCCAAGUCGCGUGAGGGAAGACGGCCCUACGGGUUGUAAACCUCUUUUGUCGGGGAGCAAAGAGAGUCACGUGUGACUCAUUGAGAGUACCCGAAGAAAAAGCAUCGGCUAACUCCGUGCCAGCAGCCGCGGUAAUACGGAGGAUGCGAGCGUUAUCCGGAUUUAUUGGGUUUAAAGGGUGCGCAGGCGGAGGUGCAAGUCAGCGGUCAAAUUGCGGAGCGCAACCCCGUACUGCCGUUGAAACUGGCAGUCUCGAGUUGGAGAGAAGUAUGCGGAAUGCGCGGUGUAGCGGUGAAAUGCAUAGAUAUCGCGCAGAACUCCGAUUGCGAAGGCAGCAUGCCGGCUCCACACUGACGCUGAGGCACGAAAGCGUGGGUAUCGAACAGGAUUAGAUACCCUUGUAGUC
rnacentral:rRNA from 1 species